UCCCCUUCGGGGGACAAAGUGACAGGUGGUGCAUGGUUGUCGUCAGCUCGUGUCGUGAGAUGUUGGGUUAAGUCCCGCAACGAGCGCAACCCUUAAGCUUAGUUGCCAUCAUUAAGUUGGGCACUCUAAGUUGACUGCCGGUGACAAACCGGAGGAAGGUGGGGAUGACGUCAAAUCAUCAUGCCCCUUAUGAUUUGGGCUACACACGUGCUACAAUGGACAAUACAAAGGGCAGCGAAACCGCGAGGUCAAGCAAAUCCCAUAAAGUUGUUCUCAGUUCGGAUUGUAGUCUGCAACUCGACUACAUGAAGCUGGAAUCGCUAGUAAUCGUAGAUCAGCAUGCUACGGUGAAUACGUUCCCGGGUCUUGUACACACCGCCCGUCACACCACGAGAGUUUGUAACACCCGAAGCCGGUGGAGUAACCUUUUAGGA
rnacentral:rRNA from 1 species